CAGAACUGUGCAGUCUCUGGAUCUCAUCUUUUGGGUUGUGAAAUUCUGGCUGAUCUUUGAGAGGCUCUGAAACCCAGGAGGCUCCGCCCCCUCACAGGUGGGCGGGGUCUGUGCCACCUCCAACUGUGCUCAGGGUUCAGGAGCCCACAGCAGGCCCAGGGGGAAGCAUUUCCCAGUGCCCAGGCGCUUUGCUCAUUGUCAAGCCUAGAGCUCACUGGUUGGUGAGACUAGCUGGCCACUGAGUCCCUGAGAUCUGCCCGUCUCUGCCUCCAAGCACUGUGACUACAAGCACAUGCUUCCAUACCCAGCUUUUUAUGUGGGUGCCAGGGACCCAAACUCAGCUUCUCCACCCAGCCCCCACCCUUCUGCAGAACUCAGUGUCCAGCCAUUCCGAGAAGGAUCCUGGGGUCUCUGGUUCCUGGGCUCCAUGAGCUCUCUGGGCAUCCUCUCCCAGAACCCUCCCUCUGAAGACACCUGACUCACCUGUGCUCAGAGCCAUUGAUGAAAAAGCCGGUGGUUUCCUCUGGAGAAGUGGUCAGAACUAAGAAGGAUGCAAAGAUGGCGGUCACUCAGGUGACCAGGACGGAGACCAAGACUGGGUCCCAAGAACCAUGAGAGGAGGUGGGGAAGGGUUUUAGAUGAAACCACACCUCACAGCCCCUCAGGCCAGGGCUACAAUUUUUAGCUUAUACUUAUUUUUUGUUUACAGAUAUAAGGGCAUCAACCCUAAAGGCUGGCCUCCCCUAACCCCAGACCCCCCCCAUCACCUGGGUACCCCCCUUCCCCCGGCACACCCACCUGUGCUUGUUGGGAGCCAGGUGGUCGUCUCUAGAGUAAGAGGGGAAAAGAGAAGAUAACCAUGCAUGAAAGGGAGAAUGGGGUCUGGGCCGAAACUGUGAAAGAUGCAGGAGGCUCAGAGGUAGCUGGGCCUAAAUUCUUUAACUUACAACGUUUACAUAUUUAUGGGCUGUUGAGACUGCCUGAAGACCUGAGUUCAAAUCCUAGAACCCACAGUGGAAGGAGAGAGUCAACAUAAAAGUUGUCCCCCAGCCUCCACGUGUGCACCAUGGCCCAUGCAUUCAUACAACAACAACAAUAAUAAUACAAUAACUUAUAAAGAGGUUUUUACACAUUAUCCUAUGCCAUUUGCUGUUUCAGUACUUGUAUAUAUUAUGUGACAUUCAAACCAAAGUCAACCUGUGUACUCAACAUUUAACAUUUAUCCAUGGUAAAACAUUAAAAAAUCCUUUUUAUAGCCUUUUAAAAGUGAUUAGGGGCCAGAGAGAUGGCUCAUAGGUUAAGAGCACUGGCUAUUCUUGCAGAGGACCCAGGUUUGAUUCCCAGCACUCACAUGGUAGCUCACA